GCGGGAGUUAUUUGAAUGCCAGGGCGGUAACGACUCCCUAGACGCUUGGGGCCCUCUGACAAGAAACCCGAGGAGACGCCGCGGAGAACUCUGCCUCUGAGCUGGUGGGCGGGCCGGCUGUAGCCCAGCGCGGACAGGGCUAGUCCGGACAGAGUCCCAGAGCCAUGGGAGCGAAAAGAGACUGCUGCGGAUUAAGGAGGCCUUUCGGUUGGCGCAGCAGCCACACCACAACCAGGCGAAGCUGGUGGUGGCGCUGAAUCGCUCCUGCCACGGGAGAUGGAGUUCUGCUCUUGUUGCCCAGGCUGGAGUGCAAUGGCGCAAUCUUGGCUCACCGCAACCUCCACCUCCUGAGUUCAAGCGAUUCUCCUCCUACAACCUCCUGAGUAGCUGGGAUUACAGGCACCUGCCACCACGCCUGGCUAAUUUUGUAUUUUUAGUAGAGACGGGGUUUCUCCAUGUUGGUCAGGCUAGUCUCGAACUCCUGACCUCAGGUGAUCCGCCCUCAUUGGCAUCCCAAAGUGCUGGGAUUACAGGUGUGAUAAAUUGACCAUUUUAUACCAGGAAGUCAAAUGAGAAGACAUCAGUAAAAAUAUUCUGGCCAACUCAUGUUUUAUUUAUCAUAUCCUCGUCAUUAAUUGCUUCUCAUAAUGCCACAGUUUGUCAUGGUAUUUGUGGCAGCAGGCAAAGUCCUUGUUCAGACUUUGAUUAAAUUGCUGUGGCAUUUUUCUAUUAAAAAGAUCUCCUGUUUCAA